GAUGAACGCUAGCUCCAGUGCUUAACACAUGCAAGUCGAGGGGCAUCAGGAAGAAAGCUUGCUUUCUUUGCUGGCGACCGGCGCACGGGUGAGUAACACGUAUCCAACCUGCCCUUUACUCGGGGAUAGCCUUUCGAAAGAAAGAUUAAUACCCGAUAGCAUAAUGAUUCCGCAUGGUUUCAUUAUUAAAGGAUUCCGGUAAAGGAUGGGGAUGCGUUCCAUUAGGUUGUUGGUGAGGUAACGGCUCACCAAGCCUUCGAUGGAUAGGGGUUCUGAGAGGAAGGUCCCCCACAUUGGAACUGAGACACGGUCCAAACUCCUACGGGAGGCAGCAGUGAGGAAUAUUGGUCAAUGGGCGCUAGCCUGAACCAGCCAAGUAGCGUGAAGGAUGAAGGCUCUAUGGGUCGUAAACUUCUUUUAUAUAAGAAUAAAGUGCAGUAUGUAUACUGUUUUGUAUGUAUUAUAUGAAUAAGGAUCGGCUAACUCCGUGCCAGCAGCCGCGGUAAUACGGAGGAUCCGAGCGUUAUCCGGAUUUAUUGGGUUUAAAGGGAGCGUAGGUGGACUGGUAAGUCAGUUGUGAAAGUUUGCGGCUCAACCGUAAAAUUGCAGUUGAUACUGUCAGUCUUGAGUACAGUAGAGGUGGGCGGAAUUCGUGGUGUAGCGGUGAAAUGCUUAGAUAUCACGAAGAACUCCGAUUGCGAAGGCAGCUCACUGGACUGCAACUGACACUGAUGCUCGAAAGUGUGGGUAUCAAACANG
rnacentral:rRNA from 1 species